AAGGCUCUUCUACUUAUAUUACUAAUUAGGCGUAGUUCUCAGGAAAAUAGUAAUAAUACUUAAAGCUGAUAUGAAUUAUGUUUGUUAAUAGGCGUUUUGGAUUAACAUUUCUUAAAUGCAGGUCAUUCUCUACGAUGUAGCAAAUUUUUUCAAUAAUUUUAUUGUGCAAUCGAUUCCUUGAUGCGGAUUAAACCGGGGAAAAAGGUGUUUGUUUUGAUAUGAAAUUAUUUAACGCUGUUACUGUAUCACAAUAGGUUUCGGAACAGACGUUGAAUUGAACUGUUACGGACGGAGAGUUUUAGUAACGAAACAGUUGUGAUUACAUAAAUGUGUGGUUUUGAUAGGAAUACUGGAUACACUAGGAUUGAGGAGGAUAACAGAACCGUCCGCCAACCCGUACGCAAAUCUCAACCAGGAUCGUUUCGUUGCCCCACCACUCUACAGAUCUACACCCACUUCAGUACUCCUAGCCCCUCUUACUCCGCUCCUCAUUAUAAUCAAUAAUUUCGAUCAAUUAUUGAUCAUUCUGGGGGACGUGAAAAGCAUACAUGGAUUCCCCUUCACUUCCAGAAAUUUCUUUUCAGCUAAUAUAACGCCCCAGGCACAACCAACUAACCACUGAGCCCUUCAACGCCAGGAUGACCAAACAUGACGUGUCGUGCGAGGACUAAAACGGAUGUAGGUACUCUUAGGAAUACUGGAUACACUAGGAUUGAGGAGGAUAACAGAACCGUCCGCCAACCCGUACGCAAAUCUCAACCAGGAUCGUUUCGUUGCCCCACCACUCUACAGAUCUACACCCACUUCAGUACUCCUAGCCCCUCUUACUCCGCUCCUCAUUAUAAUCAAUAAUUUCGAUUAAUUAUUGAUCAUUCUGGGGGACGUGAAAAGCAUACAUGGAUUCCCCUUCACUUCCAGAAAUUUCUUUUCAGCUAAUAUAACGCCCCAGGCACAACCAACUAACCACUGAGCCCUUCAACGCCAGGAUGACCAAACAUGACGUGUCGUGCGAGGACUAAAACGGAUGUAGGUACUCUUAGGAAUACUGGAUACACUAGGAUUGAGGAGGAUAACAGAACCGUCCGCCAACCCGUACGCAAAUCUCAACCAGGAUCGUUUCGUUGCCCCACCACUCUACAGAUCUACACCCACUUCAGUACUCCUAGCCCCUCUUACUCCGCUCCUCAUUAUAAUCAAUAAUUUCGAUUAAUUAUUGAUCAUUCUGGGGGACGUGAAAAGCAUACAUGGAUUCCCCUUCACUUCCAGAAAUUUCUUUUCAGCUAAUAUAACGCCCCAGGCACAACCAACUAACCACUGAGCCCUUCAACGCCAGGAUGACCAAACAUGACGUGUCGUGCGAGGACUAAAACGGAUGUAGGUACUCUUAGGAAUACUGGAUACACUAGGAUUGAGGAGGAUAACAGAACCGUCCGCCAACCCGUACGCAAAUCUCAACCAGGAUCGUUUCGUUGCCCCACCACUCUACAGAUCUACACCCACUUCAGUACUCCUAGCCCCUCUUACUCCGCUCCUCAUUAUAAUCAAUAAUUUCGAUCAAUUAUUGAUCAUUCUGGGGGACGUGAAAAGCAUACAUGGAUUCCCCUUCACUUCCAGAAAUUUCUUUUCAGCUAAUAUAACGCCCCAGGCACAACCAACUAACCACUGAGCCCUUCAACGCCAGGAUGACCAAACAUGACGUGUCGUGCGAGGACUAAAACGGAUGUAGGUACUCUUAGGAAUACUGGAUACACUAGGAUUGAGGAGGAUAACAGAACCGUCCGCCAACCCGUACGCAAAUCUCAACCAGGAUCGUUUCGUUGCCCCACCACUCUACAGAUCUACACCCACUUCAGUACUCCUAGCCCCUCUUACUCCGCUCCUCAUUAUAAUCAAUAAUUUCGAUCAAUUAUUGAUCAUUCUGGGGGACGUGAAAAGCAUACAUGGAUUCCCCUUCACUUCCAGAAAUUUCUUUUCAGCUAAUAUAACGCCCCAGGCACAACCAACUAACCACUGAGCCCUUCAACGCCAGGAUGACCAAACAUGACGUGUCGUGCGAGGACUAAAACGGAUGUAGGUACUCUUAGGAAUACUGGAUACACUAGGAUUGAGGAGGAUAACAGAACCGUCCGCCAACCCGUACGCAAAUCUCAACCAGGAUCGUUUCGUUGCCCCACCACUCUACAGAUCUACACCCACUUCAGUACUCCUAGCCCCUCUUACUCCGCUCCUCAUUAUAAUCAAUAAUUUCGAUCAAUUAUUGAUCAUUCUGGGGGACGUGAAAAGCAUACAUGGAUUCCCCUUCACUUCCAGAAAUUUCUUUUCAGCUAAUAUAACGCCCCAGGCACAACCAACUAACCACUGAGCCCUUCAACGCCAGGAUGACCAAACAUGACGUGUCGUGCGAGGACUAAAACGGAUGUAGGUACUCUUAGGAAUACUGGAUACACUAGGAUUGAGGAGGAUAACAGAACCGUCCGCCAACCCGUACGCAAAUCUCAACCAGGAUCGUUUCGUUGCCCCACCACUCUACAGAUCUACACCCACUUCAGUACUCCUAGCCCCUCUUACUCCGCUCCUCAUUAUAAUCAAUAAUUUCGAUCAAUUAUUGAUCAUUCUGGGGGACGUGAAAAGCAUACAUGGAUUCCCCUUCACUUCCAGAAAUUUCUUUUCAGCUAAUAUAACGCCCCAGGCACAAGAACCAACCAACCACUGAGCCCUUCAACGCCAGGAUGACCAAACAUGACGUGUCGUGCGAGGACUAAAACGGAUGUAGGUACUCUUAGGAAUACUGGAUACACUAGGAUUGAGGAGGAUAACAGAACCGUCCGCCAACCCGUACGCAAAUCUCAACCAGGAUCGUUUCGUUGCCCCACCACUCUACAGAUCUACACCCACUUCAGUACUCCUAGCCCCUCUUACUCCGCUCCUCAUUAUAAUCAAUAAUUUCGAUCAAUUAUUGAUCAUUCUGGGGGACGUGAAAAGCAUACAUGGAUUCCCCUUCACUUCCAGAAAUUUCUUUUCAGCUAAUAUAACGCCCCAGGCACAAGAACCAACCAACCACUGAGCCCUUCAACGCCAGGAUGACCAAACAUGACGUGUCGUGCGAGGACUAAAACGGAUGUAGGUACUCUUAGGAAUACUGGAUACACUAGGAUUGAGGAGGAUAACAGAACCGUCCGCCAACCCGUACGCAAAUCUCAACCAGGAUCGUUUCGUUGCCCCACCACUCUACAGAUCUACACCCACUUCAGUACUCCUAGCCCCUCUUACUCCGCUCCUCAUUAUAAUCAAUAAUUUCGAUCAAUUAUUGAUCAUUCUGGGGGACGUGAAAAGCAUACAUGGAUUCCCCUUCACUUCCAGAAAUUUCUUUUCAGCUAAUAUAACGCCCCAGGCACAACCAA